GCAGAGGCCAGAUGGAGACCUUGGCGGCGGCUGUGGUGAUUAUGGGCCAUCGUAUUUGAAAGGUUACAUCUACUGUCUUGGCUGUGACGAUGUAGAUCCAUACAACAACUGUGUCAAAAGAUCCUACACCUGCGUUGCUUGGAAAAUGGAGUACUGUUACAACCGGGUAGUGAGCAAAAAUGGAGUGCUUCUUUUUGUGGACCGAGGCUGCAUUUCUAACUGCAUCCAUGUACAACGUGAUAGCCAUUAUAGGAACCUCACCUGGUGCUGCAAUCACAGAGAUCAUUGCAAUCAGCAUAACAUCUGGCCAAAUUAUCUCCCAUCAGAGCUAGCAGAACUGUCAUAGCAUUCUACUCAUCUCCUCCCCAUCUGGGGCAUUAAACACCCUCUCAAGUGCAGCCCCAGUACUUAGUGAGGGGUGAGAUGAUUUUUUUUGCUGCUUUGUUCUUGAUCUAAAAAAACUCACACAUUGCUUCAUAUGUCACGUGGAAAGAUCUUGAAACUUUAUUUUAAAAAAACUAAUUUGAUCAAGCUCUCAAACA